rnacentral:rRNA from 1 species
UACGGAGGGGGCUAGCGUUGUUCGGAAUUACUGGGCGUAAAGCGCACGUAGGCGGCUUUGUAAGUUAGAGGUGAAAGCCCAGGGCUUAACCCUGGAAUUGCCUUUAAGACUGCAUCGCUAGAAUCGUGGAGAGGUGAGUGGAAUUCCGAGUGUAGAGGUGAAAUUCGUAGAUAUUGGGAAGAACACCGGUGGCGAAGGCGGCUCACUGGCUCGUAACUGACGCUCAUGCACGACAGCGUGGGGAUCAGACAGG